GUCUUUUUGAGUUAUUUUAAAAGUCUGACCUGCCCACUGAAUAUUUUAAAUGGCCGCAGUAUUCUAACUGUGCAAAGGUAGCAUAAUCAUUAGUCUUUUAAUUGAAGGCUGGUAUGAACGGUUGGACGAAGUAUAAGCUGUUUCAUAUAAAAUUGUAUUAGAAUUUUAUAUUUUAGUUAAAAAGCUAAAAUAUUAUUAAAAGACGAGAAGACCCUAUAAAUCUUUAUAUUUAAUAUUAUUCAAAUUUUUUUGAUUAAUUUUAUUUUUAUUAUAUUAAAUAUUUUGUUGGGGUGAUAUUAAAAUUUAACAAACUUUUAAUUGUGAAUUAAAACAUUAAUUUAUGAAUAAUUGAUCCAUUAUUAGUGAUUAUAAGAUUAAGUUACUUUAGGGAUAACAGCGUAAUUUUUUUUGAGAGUUCAUAUCGACAAAAAAGUUUGCGACCUCGAUGUUGGAUUAAGAUAUAUAUUUAGGUGUAGCUGUUUAAAUAUUAAGUCUGUUCGACUUUUAAAUUCUUACAU
rnacentral:rRNA from 1 species